AUCUCGUCCGAUCUCGGAAGCUAAGCAGGGUCGGGCCUGGUUAGUACUUGGAUGGGAGACCGCCUGGGAAUACCAGGUGCUGUAAGCUU
rnacentral:rRNA from 1 species